rnacentral:lncRNA from 1 species
GUAAAUUUGUUCAUUAUGAUAUGAGCAGCGAUGAAAACUUCAUAUCUCUAUUAGUCAAUUUCAUACCUCGACAUGAAUUUUAACAAAUAAUUUCAUUUAAUAUACGCAGGGUUUUCCAUCUUUCAUUGCUUCAGUGGUUAAACAAACAACCACCGAUUUGAUUCAUCUCCAAAGCUUAGGGUUUAAGAGAAUUGUUGUAGGUGCUUUACAACCACUUGGAUGUCUUCCUCAAACCACUGCUGAAUCCUCGUUCCAACGUUGCAAUAGUACAUUUAACGACCUCGUAGCUCUCCAUAACAACCUAUUGAACCAAUCCGUGGCCAAAUUGAACCAAGAAACCAAGGAUCACACCACCUUUACAAUUCUAGACAUUUUUGACAGUUUUGCGUCGGUGUUGAACCACCCUGCAAGCCAUAAUAUCAAGGAUCAUUUGAAGCCAUGUUGCGCGGGAGUAAGCAGUCAGUAUAAUUGUGGAAGUGUAGACGAGAAUAAUGUUAAGAAAUAUUUGGUUUGUGAAAAUCCAGAAUCAAGUUUCUUUUGGGAUGGAUUGCACCCAACACAAGCUGGAUGGAAUGCUGUAUAUAAUGAGUUGGAGAAGAAAGGUCUUCACAAUAUUUUGUACUAGAGCUAUGUAUCUUUGUGUCAUUUAUUUGCAUCAUUUUGUUUGUUGUCUAAUAAAGCACCAUUCUAUUCAUGAAUUUGUUAAGUUAUCCUUAAACUCGGCUUCUUUGUAUUAUUACAUGUCAUUUCCUUUCAAAGGAUGCAAUGUGGAAAUCGAUUAUUAUUUUUUGUUGUUGAUAUGAUACUAAUUUUGUUGAAUGCUAAAAUAGUUGUUGGAAGCAAACUGGUUGAAAAUGAUGACAAUAUCAAGCUAAAAAAGACCAAGGGUGUGUUUGGAUUGAGGGUUUAGGAGGGGAAGGGAGGGGAGGGGAGGGUUUGAUUUUCUUUUUUAAAUUACCAACUAUAUAACAUGUUUUUCUAAACGUGCUAAUCAAUGGGUUUUUGAGCGUGUGAUCCUUGGGAUGAACACACUUGGAACACCGUCCUGGAGAAAUGUUUCAACCCUUUUAUCUGAUGUUUCAAUGUGGGUUAUGAAUGAAUAUGGCACUGGAGAAUCAUGGACUAAGAUUUACAACAUCGAUGCUUCGUUCAAUCCUUCGGAAAGUCAUGUUCAACGGAGUUGUGAUUUCAAAUUGCGGGAAGAAAAGGAAGUUCUUUCUCUGUCUCAACUCUCAACAGAUUUUUUGAGACUUGAAAGUUCAUGCUUUUCAUCAUCUUAUGGUGACUUGAUAAAUAUAUCUUCCUCCUUAUCUGAUGGUGAAGAGUUUGGUGAAGAGCCGGCUUCCAAAGAAGAGUACGUCUGUUUUCGUAUUGAUUGGUAUUCUGACCCUUGCUUAUUACAAUUUUAGGUAUGUUAACUUAGACUUUGUUAUGUAAUAUUGGUGUUAUUUUAUAGGCUAAAAUAUGAUUUUGGUCCCUGCAAAUAUGCCUCGUUUUGGUUUUAGUCCCUGUAAAAAAAAAUUGUUGUUUUUGAUCCUUGCAAAAUAUUUUGUUUUUGAAAAUAGUCUCAGGGACUAUUUUCAAAACUAAAAUAUUUUGCAGGGACCUUUUUAAAAAUCAAAAGAUUUUGCAGGGGCUAUUUUUCUAAUAAAUAGGCUCAGUCAUUAUGUGACAUGUGUGCAAAUCAUCACAAAAGUGGGGUCAGGGACGAAAACCAAAACGAGACAUAUUUGCAGGGACCAAAAACAACAAAAAAAAAUUACAGAGACUAAAACCAAAACGAGGCAUAUUUGCAUGGACUAAAAUCAUAUUUUAGCCUAUUUUAUAUAGGUGUGCAAAAUUGAAUUUGCAUGAAGAAAAUGAAGAUCUUGAUGUAUAGACAAAUACCUUUGUCGUCCUGUGGUGAGGCUUUUGGUGAAGAGUACAACUGAUUAGAAGGAAUUUCCAUACAGUCCUUGAAAAGGGUUUCUGAAUCCCUAAGCCUGAAUUAUAAUGAUUUAUCUAUUUGAGUAGCUUCGAUGAAUUGAUUAGAUUUAAAUUGAAUUUCAAUUUUGGUGGCAUGGUAUUGAACCCUUUACAUCCUUCUGUCAUGUUCACUUUAAAGUUAUUUAAAUGAGUUUAAUAGAGGUGUAUUGUCAAUCUAAAACUAUAUUUCACUUUUAAAUAUGUGUUUUAAAAAUACUUGAUUGUCAUUGGUUGUCGGUGUAAAACUAGUUUACACCGACAAUGCAUAUCCCUUUUUUUAUUUAAAUUCUGAAAUAUUUUCUGAUCAUUUGCAUACAAGUAUGUGCAAGACCCUUUUGUUAUUUUUUUGUUCAGCUUUCACAAUUCUAUAUAGUCUCAUGCAAAUACAAUUUAGUUCUUAACCGCUCCCUAAAAAGGAUUUCGGAAUUUCCAAGUGUGAAAUACAGUGAACCAAUUAUUUGAUGAGCUUUGAUUGCAUUGGUUUAGAUUUAAAACUUCAACAGUUGAAUUUCAAUCUUUUGAUCAGAUUAACAUGGUUAUUUAGUGUGUAGAUUCAUUUCACCUUUAAGAUCUUCAUUUGACGUCUCAUAUCAUGCAAAUAUAUGGCUUUUAUAUUUGCAAGAAAUAAGAACAAUAAGAUUGGAUUAAAAUUAAAACAUUAAACCAAGUUGCUAGGGCUCCAGUGGCAAGGAGCUCCUUUCAAGGACGUAUCCGAGGAAUAUCGGGUUCGAUUCCCAGCGGGAACAACACUUGGUCAGUGCGCAUGCCUCUACGCAUGAGCCGGAUUAGUCGUCCACCAUUGGUGGGUCGGAAACCGGUGCGAAAGCCUAAAAAAAAUAAAAAUUAAAACAUUAAAAACUCAUAAUAAAUAGAAAGAAAUGAGAUUAUAGGAAAUCUAUCAUUGCAUUUCUCCCAUAAUCCCAAGUCAAAAGAAUACUCAAUCACAUUCAUAGUAGAUGCAACAAAAUAAAAUAAAAACAGAAGAAAAUGAAUAAAAGACUGGAUUUUAUUGAAAGUUGAAGUUGCAAGAACAUAAACUAAUUAAGAUAAAACUAAUGAGAACUAUGAGUUUGCGACUAGAAAAUGGUUCUUCUCCCCUUAUUUUCGUGGCCUGGUGUUCAUCUAGAAGUCAAAAUAAAACUAAAGGUAGUAAAAUAGCACUAAAAUGACAUCAAGAAUACUAGAGUUUCUAAUAAAAUAAAGGCAUAAAAAUAGAUAGAAAACUACCUUAUCAAUGAGCAAGAAAGUGACCGAAACUGGAGAUGCCUAAACCGUGAAAACGGGGUUGUGGGAGAGCAAUACGAGCUUCGUGCUGCUAGGUGAAGAAGUUGAAUGUUGUACCCUAGAUGGUCAAAGUCCAGUAGCCGAAAGCAUCACUAGCUUAAAGAAUAUGUUUUAUUGUUUUUGACAAAUUAAAACUUUAUCGACCCUUUCCUUUCUUUGAUGAAAAAUACCUUAAUCAUAUAGUUAGUGUUCUUGAGUUAAGUGAAUAUGUAAUAGGGUAGAUGAUAGACAUGGAGAAACAAGUACACAAUGAUUUUGAUAAUAUAGUGUUCACAAAAUAUAUAUUAUUAACAUAUAUUAGUAGUCAAAAACGUAUGUGUUACUUCUAUAUAGUAGUAACUACCACUCUACCAGACAAUCUACUAUUUUGAAUUUGCUUCUUAUGAUUUGCUCUCUGAAACACUUAAGCAAAACAUGAGUGGUAUAAAAUAUUCUCUUAUUAUUCAAAUUAUCAAAACAAUAUUUUAUAUGUUAAUUUUAUCUUAUGGACAUUUUAUUUGUAAUCCUAAUCAUACUCACAAGUGGUAUAAAAUAGACUUGGCCAUUCCAACUUUAGUGUAUUUUACUCAAGUCUUCAGCCUCCCACCGUGUUUUCACUAAGCAGCCCAAUGACAAAAUCAAAUCUUAAUUAUUCACAAAUUCAACCAUUCAAAUCCUUUUUGUAACAUAAUUCUCACAUUCCAACUGUUUGCCACGUCUUCCUCCUUUCACUAUAAAACCCUAAAUUAAUUCAUCAUGUUUUCAUAUAGUUUUCUCAAUAUCCAUAUCUAUUUCCAUUGUGCAUUCAAUUAUAUUUUACUCUCUCCUUUCUAACUUCCCAACAAAAAUCUCAAAACCUUCAUCAUUCCCAUUGCUAGUCAUCAUCAUGGACUCACAAAAGCACCUUUUCAUCCUCUCAUGUCUUUCCCUAUUACUUGUACUUCUCUCAGGUAUAUAUUACUAUGAAUUUGUUCAUUUUUUUAUGGAAACACGUUUAUGAAUUUAUGAUCAUAAAAUUUUUCAUAAACAUUUUAGGAAGCCAUGUUAAUAGUGUGAAAUAUUCACUUGUUUUGUCGAUAAAUAUUAAUAAUCAAUAUAUAUAUUCAACUUUCUAAUUAGUUUAUAAACUAAUUAAAUGUACAUCUUAUGGUUUAUUGUUAUAGGACAAAUGGAGAUGCAAGUUGAGGCCACUCGCCAUCUCAAUCAUCCUUCAAAAAAAUUGUUUGUUUUUGGAGAUUCGUAUGUUGAUACCGGCAACUCCAUAAAAACCAUAUUUGAUUCAUGGAAAGUACCUUAUGGUAUAACCUUUCCCGGAAAACCAGUUGGGAGAUUCUCCGACGGUAGAGUUUUAACCGACUUCCUUGGUAUGUGAAUUCACCCUUCCCUCUAAAAAAAAAAAAUAUGCAAGGUCCAAUGUUCGAGUAUCCUCGGAGCACGUUUUAAACAUUUCAAAUUUAAAAAUUAUUCUUUAAAAAACUAAACUAUUACAAUUUUCAAUGCAAUUUAAAUAUACACGAAAUUUUAUAAAAAACUUACGAUUUACGCUCAAAGUGUUUCGAAGACACUUGUUAACAUUUCCCUUAUUGAUAUCAUAAAACAUAGAAAAUAAAUUUUGUUUUCCAAUGGUAAAUGAAAUAGAUAUAUUUUUAUUUUAAAAAAAAACAUUGAAAUCACCACAUUAUUAGUGUUUGCUUUAUUAGUGUUCCUUACUAUUUAUUAAAUGCAUAUUUUAGUCUUCCUUUAUUAGUGUUUGCUUUCUCUUUUACUUAUAUAUGCUUCCUCUUUUAUAUUGUGCAGCCAAGUAUUUGGGAUUGAAAUCACCAAUCACUCACAAUUUAUGGAAUACUAAUACAGUGCCUAAGCAUGAUUUGAAGUAUGGGAUGAACUUUGCCUAUGGUGGUACAGGUGUAUUUGAAAUAUCUUCUACAGGACCAAAUGUGACAACACAAAUCAAUUCCUUAAUCAAACUCAUUCAAGAAAAUGUAUACACUCCCUCAGAUAUCACCAAAUCUAUAGCUUAUGUCUCUGUUGCUGGAAAUGACUACAAUUAUUAUUUGAAAACAGGAGGAGCUUUCCUGGUAAAUUAUUUAAUUUAAUCAUCAUAUUUAUUUUUUAUAUUUCUUGGAUGUAUAAUAUGAGACUCAAUAAUUAAAAAAUUACGAUGAUAAUGAUAAUUAAAAUAUAUUCCUACCGUCUUUAAUUGUAAGACCAUAUACAAAAAACAAAAAAAAAAGUUGUAUUUUUUAAAAAUAAAAAUAAAAAUUGUCUCUAGAUAUAAGACUAUUUACAAAUUUUUAGAUGCAUUUAUCACUUUUUUUUUCAAGUGAAGCCCUUAUUAAUAUUAUCAAUGUAUCAUGGAAUAUUAAAAGUUAACAAAUAAAUAUAUCUAUAUACAAAGGACUAUUUGGUAAUAGUCACAUAUAUUUAUGACAAGUUUAUUACUCCAACAAAUUUAUUAAAAAUUAGGAAUAAAUAUAUUUAUACAUCCGUUAUUUUUGUAAAAUAAUCUUAUAAAAAGGACGAGGGGAACAAAUAAUUUUUCAAUUAUUAUUGCAUAACAUUAACACAAUAUUUCAAAGUUAUAAAGAUAAAGCACUACUAUGUAACAAUUAUGAUAGAUGGAAGAUAGAAGAUAAAAUACAAGUUAGGAAAAAUGUAUUUUUGAAAAUUUAAAAAAAAAAUUGCAUUUUCAAAAUUGUAGAUCUGAAGAUGAAAACCAAAACGAAAAAUAAAACGAAUCCAAGUAUUUUUUGGUGGUGGCCUAGGGUUCGAACUCCGAACCUUGCAUGUAUUAUGCAUUGUUCUUAUCAACUGAGCUAAGCUAACAAGGACAAAAUGAAUCCACGUAAUAUGAUAAUAGAAAAAUACCAAAAAACAUAAAUCCAUAAUUUAGAAGGGUUUCUAAAAAUAAAAAAUUGCACUCAUUUUUUAUAUAUUUAUAAAUGAAUGUUAACAAAAUAAUUUCAUUGAAUAAACGCAGGGUUUCCCAUCUUUCCCAUCUUUCAUUGAAUCAGUGAUUGAACAAACAACCACCAAUUUGAUUCAUCUUCAAAGCUUAGGAUUUGAGAGAAUUGUUGUGGGUGCUUUACAACCCCUUGGUUGUCUUCCUCAAGCAACUGCUGAAACCUCAUUCCAAAGUUGCAAUAGUACAUUUAACGACCUCGUAGCUCUCCACAAUAACCUAUUGAACCAAUCUGUUACAAAGUUAAAUCAAGAAACCAAUGAUCACACCACAUUCACAAUUCUAGACAUUUUCGAUAGUUUCAAGUCAGUGUUGAAUCACCCUUCUAGCCAUAACAU